rnacentral:rRNA from 1 species
AGUGAACGCUGGCGGUAGGCCUAACACAUGCAAGUCGAACGGCAGCACAGUAAGAGCUUGCUCUUACGGGUGGCGAGUGGCGGACGGGUGAGGCAUACAUCGGAAUCUACUUUUUCGUGGGUGAUAACGUAGGGAAACUUACGCUAAUACCGCAUACGACCUACGGGUUAAAUCAGUGGAUCUUCGCACCUUUCGCGAUUUAUUUAGCCGAUGUCGGAUUAGCUUGUUGGCGUGGUAAAGGCCCACCAAGGCGACGAUCCGUAGCUGGUCUGAGAGGAUGAUCAGCAACACUGGAACUGAGACACGGUACAGACUACUACGGGAGGCAGCAGUGGGGAAUAUUGGACAAUGGGCGAAAGCCUGAUACAGCAAUACCGAGUGGGUGAAGAAGGACUUCGGGUUGUAAAGCCCUUUUGUUGGGAAAGAAAAGAAGCAGGUUAAUACCCCGCUGUUCUGACGGUACCCAAAGAAUAAGCACCGGCUAACUUCGUG